UGUGAAUGCAUGUUGCAUAUUGCACAAUAUUGCAAACAUGGCAAGAGCACCGUUGCCACCUGAUGAAGUUUAUGCAGAAGCACUCCGCUUGCAACAGGAGGAAAAUAAUUAUGCAGCACCUAAUUAUCAAGACCAUCGAAGGGUGAACCGGGAUCUUCUUGAAGGUCGGGCACUGCAGCAGGCUCUUGUUGACAGACUGUGGAGAAAUGCAUAAAUUAAAUUAGCAGAUCCACAGUAUUGCACAAAACAGAUUUAAAAUAAAUUCUCUUUUUGUAAA